GGGGCUAUAGCUCAGCUGGGAGAGCGCCUGCUUUGCACGCAGGAGGUCUGCUGGUUUGUGAGUGCAUAGCUCCACCA
rnacentral:tRNA from 1 species